CCAUUCUUCACUAAUCAUACCUUCUUUUUUUACAAAUAAGCAAUAAAACUAAAGCGUAGAAAUAAACUUAGGAGAACGGUUCUUAUGGAAUACCAUAAUCGCUCCGGGUGCCUAACACCUUCCCGUAGUGAAAACGACCCCCGAAUCUAGAACUUUUUAAGGGUUUUUCUCCUUUUACCCUUCCCAAGAAAAAAGAGAGAUAUCAACGGUCGAAAGGUUCAAGUCCAAUUAAUGGCUUGACACCCAAAAACCAUGAUAACACUUAGGUUAGGCUAUAACUAUUGUAUCUUUUGUUAGGUGUUCUGAUGUCUCAUGUGUGAAGUUGCUCUUGUGAUAGUGUUGUUUUAAUGAUGUUUGACUAGAUUAUGCACUAAGUAUUUUAAUGAUGUUUAUCGUGCAGAGUUUACAUAUUCAAAUUAGUUAGCACGUAUGUUAAAGCAGCUAGUCAUCCAUGGUCUUAGCUUUCCUCAAAGUGUCUUGUGUGUCAAGUUUUUUUUUCUCGCGAAACUCUUUUUCAAAGUCUUUGAAUGGAAUCAUAAAUCGAUUCAUUGACAUCUUCUGGUAUUGUUUCUUGUUGUUCAUGACAACAUGAAUCGUUUCAUGUACACUAUGAUUUUUAUCAUGUUGACUCGAAUCAAAAUAUUUUGAAAUCUUCUGAAUCGAUUCAUUUGUGUUCUCGGUCUAAUGAUUUUCCUGGAUGAAUUGUAUCAUUGUUCUAUGAUUUGUAACAAUCUUUAUCUGGGCUUCACUAAUUUGAUUCAUACCCUUGUUUGUGCUGUCUUGAAUCAUAUCGAUAUUCGUCUGGAAAACCUUUGAUUCAAUUCACAUGUUCUUUGAAUCGUAUCAAUCUUCAAAGCUUCAACUUUUCCUAUUUUCACGUGUCUGAAUCAAUUCAUACUUAGUAUGAUUCGAAUCAUGUCGUUAUUUUUGCCACUAAAAUUUCACUUGUCACUCAUGUCUAUAUAUAGCUAAAAACACAUACCUUCCAA
rnacentral:lncRNA from 1 species